GCACGUGCGCACCAAGGUUGUUUACUCCAACUGACAACGGGUGUCGGCGCCAUCUUGUAACGGAGAAUGUGGGGGCGGCUCCCCACAAUGGAGUCCAGCGGCACAGAGGCUGGAAAAUCAAUGGCUGAGAUGCUGGCUGUUUGAAUCCUGGUAAAUUAACCAAUUGGAGUGGCUGACUGAAGGACAGUGGCAAUUCUGUACCAAACAAUACUGAAGAAAAGCUGUAUUGUAUUGUCAUGAACGUUGGUCCAAUAAAUUCAGGUCUCAGCAUUUUUAAAGAAGAUGUUAAAAAAUAGGAUUCUUAUGAGAACUUGGAAUUUAUUAUCAACAUGCCCAGAGAAGGAUAAAAGAGGACCUGGAGUCAACAGAAAGCAAGGGCAGUAAAAUAAAUGCCUAUCUCUUACUCUCAUACACUUGCAAGAAGACAGGAAUUUUGUUGUCAUCUUCUGAUUCCUAAACCCAACAUGAAAAUACAGAGCAUAUUAAGA